CCCUCCUGGGAAGGUGUGUCUGUGGUUCCUUGUCCUUGGACAUGUAAGAAUUGGAGGCAAAGAGAUGUGGACUUGGAGAAGUCUGGAGCCAGCUUGCUCCCCGCAGGCCCAAGGAAGAAAAAAAAAAG
rnacentral:snoRNA from 1 species